rnacentral:rRNA from 1 species
AUGGUGGAGGGCUCCGCGUCCGACAUCGCCAACCUGAAGUUCCUCCUCCUGUGCUUCCAACAGAUGUCCGGCCUCACCAUCAACUUCGACAAGAGCGAAGUGAUGGUCCUCGGCUACCCCCCGGACGAUGCUUUGUCCAUUGCGGACCGGCUGAACUGCCGCCUGGGCUCCUUCCCCACGACUUACUUGGGGGUGCCCAUUAAUGACUCCAGACUCACCGUCGCGGAUCUCCGCCCGACAGUGACUAGGAUGCAGCACAGGGUUGAACCCUGGAGGGGACGCUGGUUGUCGAAAGCUGCCAGGGUGAUUCUAAUCAACUCCUCGCUUGCCAGCCUUCUCUGGUUUCUCAUGAGCUUCUACAGCCUUCAUGAGACCCUCCAUCAGGAGGUGGCCAAAUACCAGUCGAGGUUCUGCUGGGCUGGUGAGGGCGACAAGCAGAAGUACCAUAUGGUGAGCUGGCCCGACAUCUGCAAACCCAAAGACCAGGGUGGCCUUGGGAUCCUGUCAUCCCGACGCAUGAACAUUGCCCUCCUGACCCGAUGGCUGUGGCGUAUUGACAAUGGGGAGGGAGGCCUCUGGCUC